AACGAACGCUGGCGGCAGGCCUAACACAUGCAAGUCGAGCGGACCUUUCGGGGUCAGCGGCGGACGGGUGAGUAACGCGUGGGAAUAUGCCCUUCUCUACGGAAUAGUCCUGGGAAACUGGGGGUAAUACCGUAUACGCCCUUUGGGGGAAAGAUUUAUCGGGGAAGGAUUAGCCCGCGUUGGAUUAGGUAGUUGGUGGGGUAAUGGCCUACCAAGCCGACGAUCCAUAGCUGGUUUGAGAGGGUGAUCAGCCACACUGGGACUGAGACACGGCCCAGACUCCUACGGGAGGCAGCAGUGGGGAAUCUUAGACAAUGGGGGCAACCCUGAUCUAGCCAUGCCGCGUGAGUGAUGAAGGCCUUAGGGUUGUAAAGCUCUUUCAGCUGGGAAGAUAAUGACGGUACCAGCAGAAGAAGCCCCGGCUAACUCCGUG
rnacentral:rRNA from 1 species